UACGUAGGUGGCAAGCGUUGUCCGGAUUUACUGGGCGUAAAGGGCGUGCAGGCGGUCUGUUAAGUGCAGGGUGAAAGCUCCCGGCUCAACUGGGAGAGGUCCUUGCAUACUGGCGGACUUGAGGGGGGUAGAGGAAAGUGGAAUUCCCGGUGUAGUGGUGAUAUGCGUAGAUAUCGGGAGGAACACCUGUGGCGAAGGCGGCUUUCUGGGCCCUACCUGACGCUGAGGAGCGAAAGCGUGGGGGAGCGAACAGG
rnacentral:rRNA from 1 species